UCCAUCCAACCCCGGCAGCCCCUGCCGUGGGUGUCCCGGAUAGUGCUGCGCUGUCAGGCUCAGCCUGUCUGGGUCCCUCGGCUCAGCUCCCAGCCACGGGCAACUUAGCGAGCACCUCUGGAGUGAUUUCAGCUCUGUGAGUUCAGCUCUUGGUGAUUUCGCUCUGUGCUCACAAGUGCCUCUGGCAGACACACAGGGAUAGAGAGAGGAAAAGGCUGUAUGUGGUUCCACAGCGAUGUCCUUUAUUGCCAGCUCCUCUGAAGGGAUGCAGUGACAGCUCUGCCAAACUGGGCAGAAAUGGGUGUUUAUAUGGGGUACUGGGGUGUUGGAAAUUGUCCAAUUGCCAGGGCUGAGGAGAAUACACCAAUACCCUUACAGAGAGAUAAGAAGGGUCUGAAUGCAGAAGAGGGGCUUCUUUGGUCCAGUCACCGUGACUUAGGCAUUUCUUAUCUUAGGUGAGUGACCGCCAGGGAGGCCUUGCAGGGCCUCUGACUGCUACAGUGACACUGCAGAACCUCAUGGAACCAUGGGUCAGUUGUGACAAUGCAGGUCCAAGGACACCACGGUGACACUACAGAACCACAGGGAACCAAGGGGCCAUUGUGACACUGUGCUGCCUCAUGGAAUCAAGGAGACCAUUGUGAACUCAGAGACCCCAAGGAAGCAAGGGUCCACGGUGACCUUGUGCAGCCGCAGUGUCACAGAGGAGCCGCUGUGACACAGCGAGGGCACACGGAGCCCAGGGGCCAUUGUGACACAUCAGGGCUUUGUGGAACCACGAAGCCAUUGUGACACUGCAAGGCCUCAUGGAAGCAUGGGGCCAUUGUGACACUGCAGAAGCAAGGGGAACAUUGUGACACUCCAGGGCCUCAUGGAGCCAAGGAGACCAUUGUGACACUGUGGGGUCCAUGGAACCAAGGGAACAUGGAACAGGUCUGGCCGGCUGGGCUCCUGGGGACCACCUGACCACCUUGGCAUGUUGAGGGCUGCUUCUCAUCUGCCCCUGAAGCCCUGGGGCUCUGUUCUUUUCUUCCUAAUGUAAAUAAUUCUUCCUAUCCAGGAACCCACAGCCAAAAUUGAGAUUCCACCUCCAAAAUGCCCUGUGUCCAAGGAUAGCCCCUAGACAAAAGGUACCAGGAGAGUCAGGUCUGGCUGGCUUGGCCUAAGGGUGCCCACCUCUCAUCUUCUUCCAGAACACUUGGACUUGCACUUCUCUUUCCUGUAGGAAAAAAUCAUUCAUCCUGUCAUGGCCAAAACUGGGAUUCCACCUCCAAAACUCCCUACAUCCGAGGAUUAAUGCUUUGAGAAAUGUUUUUUGUUGAUUUAAUGACCUAUUAAACCUUUUCCCAAAGUUUCUCUUA